UACGUAGGGGGCGAGCGUUGUCCGGAUUUAUUGGGCGUAAAGAGCGUGUAGGCGGCCAGGUAGGUCCGUUGUGAAAACUCGAGGCUCAACCUCGAGACGUCGGCGGAAACCAUCUGGCUAGAGUCCGGAAGAGGAGAGUGGAAUUCCUGGUGUAGCGGUGAAAUGCGCAGAUAUCAGGAAGAACACCCGUGGCGAAGGCGGCUCUCUGGGACGGUACUGACGCUGAGACGCGAAAGCGUGGGGAGCGAACAGG
rnacentral:rRNA from 1 species